ensembl:lncRNA
AUGAAGAUUCUGGGAGAUGUAGUCCCAAAAACUAACAUUUCCACACACCGCUUGUUCCAAAUCCAAUUGCAUUACCACAAUGCUCCCAGCUUGGACACUUACCAACCCUCACCCUUGCCACAGACACUCCGGCUGAAGGUGCUCGACCCCGGCCUUCUUGGCACAGAGAAGAUUCGAACUCCUGGUUAUACCAGCUGUACCACCCCCAGCCUCACCCCCAAUUACUGCUCCUGCUAUUUCGAUGGGCAACGAAUCAACCCCCAGCGGGCGACUGGCGAUCUCUUUCGGUCAAGAGAUGGCAAAGAGGCAGCCUUCGAAACAAGAAUUUGGGCUUGGCGACAGGGAGGGUCCUGCCGGACCUGGAAAACUCCACAAACUCGCGUCUUCUCCCCACCCGCCCCGCUGCCCUUGCUGCUCUCAUCCAGUCAGAAAUAA